ensembl:lncRNA
CACCAGGGUCCUGAGGGAGCCGGAGAGAUGGGAGGAAAGCUCCUGGACUCCUGCCACGUCUUACAUUAGCAGCAUCUUCUCCAACAGCCUGCCCCCAGGGACACCAUCUGAACCAGCUGAAUUCCGGGCACUGCUUCACCUUGGAAAGGAGGCCACAGCUCUCUAGAGCAGCCCGAAGAGGAUGCCGAGGGCCCUGGAGGGAGCAGACCAGCCCGGAGGCUCACACUGCAGAGCCGGGGUCUGACCUCGUCUUUAGUCACCCACCUGAGAGCAUCA